UACGUAGGGGGCAAGCGUUGUCCGGAUUUAUUGGGCGUAAAGAGCGUGUAGGCGGCCAGGCAGGUCUGCUGUGAAAACUCGAGGCUUAACCUCGAGCUGUCGGCGGAAACCAUCUGGCUAGAGUCCGGAAGAGGAGAAUGGAAUUCCUGGUGUAGCGGUGAAAUGCGCAGAUAUCGGGAAGAACACCCGUGGCGAAGGCGGUUCUCUGGGACGGCACUGACGCUGAGACGCGAAAGCGUGGGGAGCGAACAGG
rnacentral:rRNA from 1 species